rnacentral:rRNA from 1 species
CGGGAAAAGCUCAAAUUUAAAAUCUGACAGUCUUUGGCUGUCCGAGUUGGAGUCUGGAGAAGCGUUUUCCGCGCUGGACCGUGUACAAGUCUCUUGGAACAGAGCGUCAUAGAGGGUGAGAAUCCCGUCUUUGACACGGACUACCAGUGCUUUGUGAUGCGCUCUC